rnacentral:rRNA from 1 species
UACGAAGGGGGCUAGCGUUGCUCGGAAUCACUGGGCGUAAAGCGCACGUAGGCGGAUCUUUAAGUCAGGGGUGAAAUCCUGGAGCUCAACUCCAGAACUGCCUUUGAUACUGGGGAUCUCGAGUCCGGAAGAGGUGAGUGGAACUCCGAGUGUAGAGGUGAAAUUCAUAGAUAUUCGGAAGAACACCAGUGGCGAAGGCGGCUCACUGGUCCGGUACUGACGCUGAGGUGCGAAAGCGUGGGGAGCAAACAGG